rnacentral:lncRNA from 1 species
GAGUACGAGGUUCAAUCAUUUUCAUCCUUCAUGAGCUGGCGAAUUUUUGGAAGAAUCAUUCCGUUAGCUAGCAGGAUCUCUUCCAGAUUUGGUGGUCCUCCAAAUUGAUGUGGUCCCUCAAAUGAAAGGAUAAGGUUUUGUCUGUAGUGAAUCUACGGUAACCAUCUAUUUUUACUUUUUCCUGCGGUAAUUGUCCUGUUUUACCGACGUAUUGACUCUUUGUGUG